ensembl:snRNA U2 U2 spliceosomal RNA
GUUGCUUCUCAACCUUUUGGCUAAGAUCAAGUGUAGUAUCUGUUCUUAUCAGUUUAAUAAUGAAAGAAAUAACUCUUCUAGAUUAUAUCUAUAUUCUAAAAAAAAAAGGAAAGAUUUCUUUUUCACACUUGUCUGGAUUGCGAUCUUGGAGACGGGGACUAGUU